UGGGGUGUCGUCUAAUGGUAGGACAACGGAUUUUGGUUCCGUUUAUUGAGGUUCGAGUCCUUGCACCCCAG
rnacentral:tRNA from 1 species